GACGAACGCUGGCGGCGUGCUUAACACAUGCAAGUCGAACGGAAAGGCCCUGCUUUUGUGGGGUGCUCGAGUGGCGAACGGGUGAGUAACACGUGAGUAACCUGCCCUUGACUUUGGGAUAACUUCAGGAAACUGGGGCUAAUACCGGAUAGGAGCUCCUGCUGCAUGGUGGGGGUUGGAAAGUUUCGGCGGUUGGGGAUGGACUCGCGGCUUAUCAGCUUGUUGGUGGGGUAGUGGCUUACCAAGGCUUUGACGGGUAGCCGGCCUGAGAGGGUGACCGGCCACAGUGGGACUGAGAUACGGCCCAGACUCCUACGGGAGGCAGCAGUGGGGAAUAUUGCAUAAUGGGCGGAAGCCUGAUGCAGCAACGCCGCGUGCGGGAUGACGGCCUUCGGGUUGUAAACCGCUUUCGCCUGUGACGAAGCGUGAGUGACGGUAAUGGGUAAAGAAGCACCGGCUAACUACGUG
rnacentral:rRNA from 1 species